GAAAAAAAAAAACGUAGUUUUCCGUAUCCAACGUUUAACUACCCGUCUUAUAUAAAAAUUUUUUAUAGUUAAUAUUUUCAUUGUUGUUAGAUGAUAAAACAUGAUUAAUACUUUAUGCAUGACUUAUCUUUUUAAAAAGUUUUUAAAUAAGACGGAUGUUCAAUCAUUAGACAAUGAAACCCAGGUUUGUUUUUUCU
rfam:Oryza glaberrima chromosome 1 Oglab01_0288_36, whole genome shotgun sequence.